UAACACCCCAUUUUAAAAAAAACCAAAAAAACUCUGAAACCCUCUCCCCCGUCCUCUGGCCUAAGUUCCAACAACGGCCGAUGGCCACCGCUCCAGGUGCCCACGUGCCGCCGUGCACGACGGUCGGAAGGCCAAAAAUCCUUCCUCUUGCAGUCGAAACACAGGUAAUCACAAGAUCUCCGGCGGAGAUAAAGGGGACCUUCGUUUGGUGCUUGCGGCGCGAGGAGAGGGCUAGGGUUUCUCUAACCCUAGCCGAAUGCUUCUAAAUUUUGGGCCUCUGAGAGUUUGGGUCUAUAACGGGUAGGGAUGGUUUAGAUCUGUUAGGUCGGGUUAGGUAUUGGGUUAAGUUUGGCUGAUGGAUCUGUGUAUUUGGGCUACGGGACUGCUUUGGGGUUUUGGGUAGUAAUGGGUAGGUUUAGGUGGGUUAUUGGUUUUUAACAUUUGUAAAAGGACUAUUAAAAAAAACUUUUAUUAUUAUUUUUUUGAUAUUUUGGAAUAUGCCUUGGCUUCUAAUGGGCCGGGCAAAAUUGAGGUAUUAUAA